rnacentral:lncRNA from 1 species
AUAAAAUGGAAAGUGAUGCCAUUUGGCUUGUCAAUACAAAAUAAAAUAAUAUCUCUUCCCUUUGAAAUCAAGUAUAGUAAGGCCCCAGACCUUACUAUAUAUCUUUUCUUUUGCAAGCUAUUUUUCUAAAAUGUUUAGAACUUUUAAAAGUAAAUGAGCUUAUUUUUAGAUCUCACCAUCUUUUAUUGUACUGUAUCUGUACAGUCUUUCAGCUAAAAGAGACACAGAUAAUGCCUAUAUUUCCUUGCAGAACGUAUUCUUAUAAGCAUAACCUAAGCAUAGUUACUGACUGUAAGCAAGAGAAACAGGGAUAACAAAAUUGGUAUCUAAUAAAAAGAGCUCAUUCCACCAAGAACAUUUACCUUUAUUCAACUACAUUGUUUUAUCCAAGCUUCUAAGGAAUGAGAAAUUUAAUAUUUAAAGUUUUACUUUCUCUUCCCAAUAUGCCUGCUCUGUUGUAAGUGAGGAGUCAAAUUAAUGAGAGGAAAGUGAAAAAAAUGUGUGGAUCCUUAACUUGAUAAUCAGAUUCUCAGUAGUGGAAAUGUGUACUUUCAAGAGGAAAAGAUAGUGUAAAAAAUAGAAAGCAUGUUUUUCUUAAUUAAUGCAUUCCCCCCAAAUUAAAUACAGUAACAUGCUACUUAAACAUGCAAUGAUUGUCUUU